rnacentral:lncRNA from 1 species
CACCUCACCCAUGUUAGGUGGCCAGGCAGGUGCCUGACACUGCUGUCCUCUGGGGAGGUGUAAAAUUUCCAUUAGAAAAAUGCAAGGAGGCUGGCCCUGGUGGCACAAACCUUAAAUCCCAGCACUCAGGAUGGAGAGACCGGCAGAUCUCGGAGUUUCAGGCUAGUUAGAACUACGCAGUAAGACCCCGUCUCAAAAACAAACAAACGAGCAAGAAGACGAAAAAGGAGGAGGAAGAGAACUAAGUGCCAAGAACUGGAAGAGGAAGUAUGUUGCUGCGCUGCAGAGUUGCCGUGGCAAUGGGUCAGCAGCAGAAAGAAACAGGUUCUGCCCUCAACAGACCAUCUGUUAGGAAGGGACCUUAAAUCUCCAAGAAAGGAAGUCUCUAGAGAUAGGACAUUCCAUUCUGUUGGAGUUUAAAUUUGGUCCCAGAGCAACAAGACCUGCUUUGGAGCCUCCAAACCUCAGGACUCCACAGUUCUCAAAAAGACAGCCGAACGGCUUCCUGGAAUCCCGUGUGAGCUGUCAGCUCUGCAGCAGUGUAAAGAUGCUGGAGCAUCCUCCAACCGCAAGCCAAGGACCACAAAGCCUUGCGUAUCACCUUGGCUUUCUUACAGACACCCCUUCUGCCUGCCGGGUCCUUCAGAAGACUCCCCGGAGUCCCCUCUCUAUUCGGCUGCUUGCUGGUGAAAAGGUCAGCUUAGGAACUUUGGGAAGGUCAUGGAACACUUGCCUCUACAGAAGGGAGAGGCCAAUUAACAUUUCUCAGACCACAGGGCGGGAACUGACCUGCGGGUGGGGACACAUUCCUCAGGACGGACUGUUGUCCACCUUCAGACAAGGGAAGUCCUUGUCACCUCAUUCCCUAAAGACCACUCAGUUUAAAGGGUGCACUGUUCCGCCAAUCAUCUUGUGCCUAGUUGCUGAUGCUCUAUUCUGCCCCUGGAAGCCAUAUAAAAACUUGCCAACUGGGUGCUGGGGUUGCCACCUCUUGUUCGGGUCUGGGUUGACCCCAGUGCACUGGAACAAUAAAUUCCUCUUGCUUUUUGCACCUAUCCUGGCUCCGCGUGAUUCACUCGGGGGUCCCCGGAAAGCUAAGGCUCCCCGGAGUCUUACACUGGCAGUGCUUGGGGCUCCUUGGUUUGCACAGCAACUCUCCUGUCUCUCUGGUCUGAGUCCAAUCUCCUCUCUUCAUAUAAGAACAGCAGUCACAUUCGCUUAUGGCCACCUACAUCCCCUGUGGCCUCACUUAACUUCCUAUAUACCCAUCAAGGUCCUAUUUCCAAAUCAAGUCACAAUCGGAGGCUCCACGUCUACAUGAAUUUGGGGGAAACUAUUCAAGCAAACAUAGCAACUGAAGGUAGAGCCAGCCUACCACACUGUGGGAAGACCCAGAUCAAUAAGAAUCACAGGUUAAUGAGGCAAGGAGACAAGAUUUAUCAACACUGUUUGCUGUAAGAUACCUUCAAGACCUGCCUACACAAACACCUGCUUCUUCAGCGCCUGCUCUGGGAGUGCCAAGUAAACAGGCCGUCCUUUAAGGUAGAUGCAUGGGAAAGACUCCCGUGGCCAGGAGAGCUGGUCUCUCAGGAGCCACAGCAGAAAGCAGAGCCCUGAACUCAUCGUUAUUUAAACUUGUGAGCCUGUCUCUUUGCAGCCAGACCUCUGCCCUCACUAAUGGAAGGCAUGCAUUCUCCCGGGAAGGGCCAGUCCUCAUUGGCGCUGAUGUCUGAGGACAUGAAGGGACAGACUGACAAGCUGGCCAAGUAAGGCCUGACUCCCUCCCAGACAGGUGUGAUCCUGAGGGACUCCCAC